UUACGGCCACAUCAUGUUGAAACACUGGUUCCCCUACAAUCACUAAAGUUAAGCAAUGUUGAACCUGGUAAGUAGCUAGAUAGGUGGCCACUUGGGAAUACCAGGUACUGUAAGC